GAUUAAUGCUAGCGGCGUGCCUUAUGCAUGCAAGUCGAACGGUUCUGAUUUAUCAGGAUAGUGGCAAACGGGUGAGUAAUACGUAAGUAACCUGCCCUAAAGUAAGGAAUAAUCCUUCGAAAGAAAGACUAAUACCAUAUGUGGUGCCCCUUCGUAUGGAGGGUCACUAAAGCCGUAAGGCGCUUUUGGAGGGGCUUGCGUCCGAUUAGCUAGUUGGUGGGGUAACGGCCUACCAAGGCGAUGAUCGGUUGCUGGUUUGAGAGAAUGACCAGCCACACUGGGACUGAGACACGGCCCAGACUCCUACGGGAGGCAG
rnacentral:rRNA from 1 species